GGGGAUGUAGUUCAGUGGUAGAGCACUUGCCUGGAAUGCAUGAGGCCCUGGGUUCAAUCCCUAGUAGCACAA
rnacentral:tRNA from 1 species